rnacentral:rRNA from 1 species
CCUACGGGAGGCAGCAGUGGGGGAUAUUGCACAAUGGGGGGAACCCUGAUGCAGCGACGCCGCGUGGGUGAAGAAGCGCCUCGGCGCGUAAAGCCCUGUCAGCAGGGAAGAAAAUGACGGUACCUGAAGAAGAAGCCCCGGCUAACUACGUGCCAGCAGCCGCGGUAAUACGUAGGGGGCAAGCGUUAUCCGGAUUUACUGGGUGUAAAGGGGGCGCAGACGGCGAUGCAAGCCAGGAGUGAAAGCCCGGGGGCCAACCCCGGGACUGCUCUUGGAACUGCGUGGCUGGAGUGCAGGAGGGGCAGGCGGAAUGCCUGGUGUAGCGGUGAAAUGCGUAGAUACCAGGAGGAACACCGGUGGCGAAGGCGGCCUGCUGGACUGCGACUGACGUUGAGGCCCGAAAGCGUGGGGAGCAAACAGGAUUAGAUACCCCUGUAGUC